ACCUUGAUAGCAGGAUGACGACAGAGUUCCUGUCCUUUCUGAAGGCUUCCGGUUUCUGUGUGUAAUAGAAGACGAGGUCAGAGGUUUGGGGCAAAUGGAGAGGGUUUUAAACAGCCACUGUGGAAGAUGGCAGGAUAUCUUGGAGUGGAAUUGCUCGGUCAUAUGGUAACUCUACGUUCAACUUUCUGAGGACCCGUAAACUGUUUCCACAGCGCUGCACAAUUUCACCUUCCCUCCAGCAGUGGAUGAGGGCUUCUUGCCUCUCCUGAAACAUCUGAAGGUCUGACCUCUUGGGCCCACAUUCCUGCGUGCCAGCAGUCCCCCUGAGCCGGGUCAGGGCACAGAGACUCUCCAGCUUGCCUAGU
rnacentral:lncRNA from 1 species